rnacentral:rRNA from 1 species
UACGUAGGUGGCAAGCGUUGUCCAGAUUUACUGGGCGUAAAGAGCGCGCAGGCGGUUGUGCAAGUCGCGUGUGAAAGCCCCCGGCUCAACUGGGGAGGGUCACGCGAUACUGCUCGACUUGAAGGCAGGAGAGGGAAGUGGAAUUCCCGGUGUAGUGGUGAAAUGCGUAGAUAUCGGGAGGAACACCAGUGGCGAAGGCGACUUCCUGGCCUGUUCUUGACGCUGAGGCGCGAAAGCUAGGGUAGCAAACGGG